rnacentral:lncRNA from 11 species
GACCAGCCCACAUCAGAGCUUCCUGUUGGCCAUUGCAGUCCUCAGCUCCUUUAAGAACUUGAAAGAAAGGAGGCAGCAGAGGCAGCAAGGAAGCGAGAACGAAUUCCUGGGGAUACCAGGAUGUCUUGUCUCCGAUUGGCUGACCACCAUUGAACGGCUGAUGGAGGACGGAGCAAGUCUUUCCUUCUGCCUUGAUGGACCUGCACUAACAGCAUCCCAAUUGCAGGUACAUGUGACAAUGUGGAAGCUAUGAGUAGAAUUUUAAUGAGGAAGUUUGAAGAAGUUGGCAGCUCCUCUCUCUUCUCCGUGUGGGAAUCGGAUGAUGAAGUUUCAAGCGGCAAAAGCGCUGACGAUGGUGAUAGCGUCAAUCUGUCCACUCCAGACCUUUUUCUUCGUACAUGUGACAGCACUGCAGCUAUGAGCGGAAUUUUAAAGAGGAAGUUUGAAGAAGUUGACGGCUCUUCGCCCUGCUCUUCUGUGCGGGAAUCAGACGAUGAUGUUUCCAGCAGUGAAAGUGCUGACAGUGGUGAUAGUGUCAACCCAUCGACUUCAAAUCAUUUUACCCGUGUGUGCCGCUAAACUGUUGGAAACACAAUUCCUAUCCCCUUCCUUUCCGCUGCAGUCUCUCCAGCUCCCAGAAGUACUAGGGUCAGCUAUGGCGAUGGAGGAGGGAAGUGGUCCCAAAUUGGAUGGAUCCACUUUCAGUGACCAGAGCUAUUCUGUCUGUGCAAUGCAAAUCUUGAAUCUUAAUCCAAUGUCUUGUUGACAGCCUGUGAUAAGGUGUGACUAUGAAAUGUUAAGUACAUCAGCCUCUCUGUGUAGUUGAAAAAUGUCAAAAAUAGAUCACUCAUUUGCAGAUUUGGUCUUCUAGUGCCACUUGCUGUUUCCUUCUGCUUGAAAUAUCAAUUGAACAGUAGGAAUUAA